AGUGAACGCUGGCGGUAGGCCUAACACAUGUAAGUCGAACGGCAGCACAGUAAGAGCUUGCUCUUACGGGUGGCGAGUGGCGGACGGGUGAGGAAUACAUCGGAAUCUACUUUUUCGUGGGGGAUAACGUAGGGAAACUUACGCGAAUACCGCAUACGACCUACGGGUGAAAGCAGGGGAUCUUCGGACCUUGCGCGAUUGAAUGAGCCGAUGUCGGAUUAGCUAGUUGGCGGGGUAAAGGCCCACCAAGGCGACGAUCCGUAGCUGGUCUGAGAGGAUGAUCAGCCACACUGGAACUGAGCCACGCUCCAGACUCCUACGGGAGGCAGCAGUGGGGAAUAUUGGACAAUGGGCGCAAGCCUGAUCCAGCCAUACCGCGUGGGUGAAGAAGGCCUUCGGGUUGUAAAGCCCUUUUGUUGGGAAAGAAAAGCAGCAGGUUAAUACCCCGCUGUUCUGACGGUACCCAAAGAAUAAGCACCGGCUAACUUCGUG
rnacentral:rRNA from 1 species